CGGAAUUCAUCCUUCAAUACGUUUAUGUUUACAGUUGAGUUUUUUCCCUUAUAUUAUUAAUUGUGUGCAUAGCAACAGAAAUGAGGAAACAGUCGGGAAACAGUAACGUAGCAGAUAACAACUCAUCAGUACCAACUAAAACAUCUAUUAAAUUACUUUACAAUUUACAGGCAAUGAGCGACUCCUCUUUUUAGAAGCUCAACUUUAUCAAGAACUUCCAAACUUGAUGGUCACCGCCAAAUUAGGACAAGAUUUGAUUGUCCCCUGCAAACCCACUCAUCCUAACGUCUCUGUCAGUCUCUUUCAGGUAUUAAAUGAUGACGAAACAGAUGUGUUUCAGGUUUUCCCAUCAUUAUCUCAAACCGAUUCGGAUUGGUCGUUUGAUCCGAGGAGAGGAUUCAUAAUAAAGAACCAAAAGAUUCAUCUGCUGUCUAAAGAUCUCUAUUUUGUCUGUGUUGGAAUACUGGACGUUAUCAACGGGAAACGCGUCAACGUUACCCGUGAAAAAAACCCCCAGUUUAUUGCGACAAUUGAAAAAUUCAAUUUAACUUCGGAGGAAUGGAACUAGGAAGGGUUGACGAACCCAACGAUGUGGUGGAAGGAACCAACGUCACACUAAUCUGCCGCAUUGCUGCUGAAACAACGCAAGUUAGUUCAUUUACUUCGAUGUGGUACUACGAAAUAAACGGAGCAAUGCAAACCAUUGAUGACAAAAACCCACCACCAGGUAUUCAGACAACGGAAAAGGCAAGGGAAAAUGAUAAUAAUAACGAAACAGAUAUUAUUACGAGAAGAGUUGAGAAACGACUGCAUCUGCACAAUGUAACCCUUGACACACCCUACACAAAAUUUCAAUGUUCAGU